GACGAACGCUGGCGGCGUGCUUAACACAUGCAAGUCGAACGGCAAGGCCCUGCUUUUUUGGUGUGCUCGAGUGGCGAACGGGUGAGUAACACGUGAGUAACCUGCCCUUGACUUUGGUAUAACUUCAGGAAACUGGGGCUAAUCCCGGAUAGGAGCUCCUGCUCCAUGGUGGGGGUUGGAAAGUUUCGGCGGUUGGGGAUGGACUCGCGGCUUAUCAGCUUGCUGGUGGGGUAGUGGCUUACCAAGGCGUUGACGGGUAGCCGGCCUGAGAGUGUGACCGGCCACAUUAGGACUGAGAGACGGACCAGACUCCUACGGGAGGCAGCAGGGGGGAAUAUGGCACAAUGGGCGGAAGUCUGAGGCAGCAACGCCGCGGGCGGGAUGACGGCCUUCGGGUUGUAAACCGCUUUCGCCUGUGACGAAGCGUGAGUGACGGUAAUGGGUAAAGAAGCACCGGCUAACUACGUG
rnacentral:rRNA from 1 species